AAACGACUCUCGGCAACGGAUAUCUCGGCUCUCGCAUCGAUGAAGAACGUAGCGAAAUGCGAUACUUGGUGUGAAUUGCAGAAUCCCGUGAAUCAUCGAGUCUUUGAACGCAAGUUGCGCCCCAAGCCUUUUGGCCGAGGGCACGUCUGCCUGGGUGUCAC
rnacentral:rRNA from 1 species